rnacentral:lncRNA from 1 species
AUGGAAUGGGGAGACGUAAGCAACCACGCUGCGAGUGAACCUGUGAUAGGAUGGAGGUCUGACCUGAGGGUUCAGAGUCCAGAGGAAGAGCCACUAAUGAGGGUCCCGGAGGGGGUCUGCGUUGUGUGUCUUCUACACGUUGCUGUAACCUCGAGGAGCUUUGACGGCCGGCGUGGGCUAACCGGGGCCGUUUGCUCUCGCAGUGGGUUAAACCAUCCACGGAUAAGGCAUAGGAUCCGCCUGCCUGGCCCUGGGCCCUCACUGUGCUGCUCAUGGCUCCUGGCCAGGACCCUGCAUCGAAGCCCCUCUCCCCUGGGAGCAUGGAGGGACGGUCGCUGGUGGCACCAGGGAAGAGGUGCCUGCCUGGCGGGCUCGCAGCCACCUGGAAAGGGCACAGGUUCCCCUUGCCUGCUGGCCUGGCUGGGACUGACGCAUGGCCCCAGACAAGGCUUGAAGGGGGGUGAGGAAGGCCCUGUUGACACUGGAGUCAGUUCUUCCUUCAAACACUUGUGGAGGGCCUGCUGUGUGCUGUGAGUGGGGUUGGUGGCGGGAUACCCUGGCCUGUGGGCGACCGGUCACCACUCUGCUCCCACCCCAGACCCCUGGUCAGAAAGCUGCCACUAGGUCACAGGGAGAGGUGGCGCUGCAGCCGGACUGGUGCUCAGAGGAGACCUGCAGAUGCUGCGGGGGCAGAGCACCUAUGUGGGGAUCAGCCAGGGGAGUCUGGGGGGCCGAGGCUGGGGUGGGAAGGGGCCAGGGUCUGAGGUAGCACAUGGCAGGUGAGGGAGGGAGGGAAGGCCUCGGAGGGGGGACUUGGGGGUUCCUGACCAGGAGAGGGCAGGAGGGAGGCUGGGUCAGAGGGGCCAAGGGACAGUGGGACCCUCAUGUUGUCUUAUCACGUUGUCCGGAUGUCUGGACCCCUGUGUGGAGAGACAGAGGGAGGAUGGGAAGCUGUCAGGGUGAGCAGGCUGCCCGGGGCCUCAUGCAGGAGACCCCCGGGUGGACAGAGGGACGAGGAAAGCAUCCGAGUGACAGGAGGACGCAUCGCCAGCAGGGAGGGCAGGAAGGAAAGCCAUCCCGUGGCAGCCGGGCACACAGGCCAGCUGGGUCCACGGUCUAGGGCCAGGGUGGGAGGCUCAGGUGCCUCCCUCAAGCAUCAAGCACCCCUGGGUGCCCUCGAGGCCAAGGCUGUGCACUUAGUGGAGCGUGGAAUUGGGAGCAUAGUCCGAGUUCUCCAGGGCAGUGGAACCGCCAGGAUAUGUGUAUGGGGGAGAUCUGGGGAGAGACUGAGUUUAAGGAUCAGGCUCACGUGGUUGUGGGGCUGGCACUCCUGAAACCUGCAGGGCGGACCUGCAGGCUGGGACCCCCGGAGACCUGACACCGCGCUCGCAUCCAAAGGAGAACCCCUCCCCUCAAGGAACUCAGGCUUUUCUUUGGACAUCUUCAACUGAUGGGGUGUGGCCCACACACAACGUGGAGGAGGCUCAUCUGCUUCCUCAAAGUGGACUGACAAGGGUUAAUCUCACCUAGAAACCCUUCCCCUGGGCACUGCGGCCUGGCCAGGGGGACACGGGAACUGACGUCCCCGGGGCUCUGCAGGGCAAGGCUGUGCUUGGUUCUCACAACUGGGCAAGUCCCUGUUGGCCCCUCUGGGUGCUGGGGGCACUGGGGCCCCAGGGGCUAUGAGCCCCCACAAAUAAAGGUUACACCGUGCUCCGUCACACCCUCCUGAAGCAGGGGCACAAAUUCAUGGGGCAGCAUCCACUGUCACUUCAUCUGUGCUUUGCCAUUUGUUGGUCUGAAACCCCGGGAGCUUCCUGGGUGAAAUUCAAAGGGCCCAGGGGAGCAGCUGAGGAAAGACCCAGGCCCCUCCCGAUGGGGAGGCGGCUAUUUCAACAAGCCAGGGGACUUAGAGGGAGGCUAGCGGUGGGCGACCUCAAGGCCCGAAGCUCUCCGCACCUGCCUGCCAGGACCUUACAAGUUUGUAGAGCCGCCUUCAUGGGGUUCAGUCAUGUGUAGUGUCCAGUGGGUCCCAACACCACCUCAGUCUC